CUUAUUUCAUAUAGUCUGUGAAUGGAUAGAUUUGCAUUUCCACUAGACUUGGUAUAACUGGAUUUCAUCAAGGCACCUGAGAGAGUCUUGCAUGAUCCAUUUGUGGAUAAGAUAUAGUUAUGUAUUACUUCUAGCUGGGAGAAGAACUUGAUUGACAGCUGAUGUGCUAUAGCUUUGGCUACCAUAUUGAAUCUUCUGUUGGUGCUAUAGUUUGGAUUUAAAUGUCCCCCAAAGGUUCAAAUAUUAAAGCCUGAGCCCCCAGAUGUAUGUCAUUGGAAGUUGUGAAACUUUAGGAAAUGGGGCCUAGUAUGGAGGUGUGUCCUUGAAGGGGAUUUUAUGACCUUUGUCUCUUGCUCUUCCUUUUAUGCUUUGCCACUGUGAGCCGAAAAGGUUUGUUCAACUAUGUGCUCCUGCCAUGAGGUGGUGUCCCCUCCGCAGAGGCCUCAAAGCAAUGGGUUCAACUGACAUGGACUGAAGCCUCCCAAACUGUGAGCCCAGAUAAGCUUUUCCUCUUUUUUUCCCUUUGUCUUUAAAAAAAAUUAUUGGUAGUUUUUCUUCUUUAUAAGCUGGUUUAUCUCAGGUAUUGAUUAUAGUAAUGGAAAGCUAAAACAGUCAACUUGGGCAAAGAGGCAGUAAGAAUAAGUCAGAUCAAUUACCAAAACUAUCUAAGCAUAAAGCAGACACUAAUGAAUGUAAAUUUAAUUUUUAAAAACCUCAGCAUAUAACACAGAAUGAGGAUGAGAUAACUUGGUCAUAAUACAAAUAAAGAAGACUUGAGAUUUUAGCUGACUCUAAGAUACUAGUUUCUUAGGGCUGCUAUAACAAAUUACUACAAAUUAGAUGACCUAAACCAACAGAAGUAUAGUCUCUCAUAGUUCUGGAGGCUAGAAGUUCAAUACCAAGGUAUUGUCAGGGCCAUGGGUCCUCUGGAGGCUCUAGGGAAGACUCUUCCUUGCUUCUUGCUUCUUUGAGUUUCUGUGGUGGCUGUCAGUACUUGGCAUUCCUUGGUCUGUGGCAACAUAACUCCCAUCUCUGCCUCUAUCUUCCUGUGGCCAUCUUUCCCAUUUAGGUUUCUGUACCUAAAUUUCUGUCUUGUUACAAGAACACAGGUCACUACAGGACUUACCCUAAGUGUAACCUCAUUUUAAUUUGAUUACAACUGCAAAGACCUUAUUUCCAAAUAAGGUCACAGUCACAAGUGCUUCCUGCUUCACUGGGCUUCUGUGUUACCACAGUCCCAUUUCUCCUUUUAUCUCUCUGGCUGUUCUUCCUUGGCCUCCAAUGCUGACACCUUUUCCUGAGCUCAAGCAUUAAGUGAUUGUAUUUCUUGGUAGUUUAAACCUUCUCUUCUCAUUCCACUUAUUAUUAUUUUUUUCUGAGUUGAUAUCCUUUCCCAUGGCUUCAGUUUCCACUUAAGUAUUGAUAACUCCAGUAUCUUAUGGAGAUGUCUCUUGGAAUCUAAUUAGACAUUUCUUUUUAGAUAUUUCAAGUAUCUCAACUAAAUAGAUCCAAAAUUAGGCUCCUCAAUUUUUUUGAACCCUGGUGUCCAGGUUUCCAGUUUCAACAGAUGGUACCUCUGUCUGCCCAUUUGUCUAAGAUGUCCUUGAUUUCUCUCCUUCCUUCAUCCUCCACAUCCAGCCAGUCAUCAAAUCAAAUUGACCCUACAUUUCAAUUAGCUCAUAAAUAUGUUUAUGUAAUUUUCAAUUUAUUUCUACUGCUACUAUCUUGGUUCAGGCCACUGUCUUGAUUUGUUUGUUAGACUUAGAUGUGUGUAGCAGGUUUUGAAUUAGUAUCCCAGCCUCUGAUCUUGUUCUCUAAUCUGUUCUCUGCAUUGCCCACAUGCAAAUAUGAUCAUGCUAUUUCUCUGCUUAAAACCCUCCAAUGGAUUCCCACCUUCUUUAGGAUACAAAUAAACUUCUAAGCUGGCCUAAAAGACAUUGCAUGAUCUGAUUUCUACGAUCCUCAAGCCUCAUUUGGCUUUUUUCAGUUUUCU
rnacentral:lncRNA from 1 species